rfam:Ovis aries breed Texel chromosome 1, whole genome shotgun sequence.
UCCCUGGUGGUCCAAUGGUUAGGACUUGGCACUUUCACUGCCAUGGGCACGGGUUCAAUCCCUGGUCAGGAAA